AUGGACUGUAGCCCACCAGAGUUCUUUGUUUAUGGGAUUUCCCAGGACAGAAUACCAGAGUGGGUUGCCAUUCCCUUCUCCAGAGGAUCUUUGAAACCAGAGAUUGAACCCAUGUCUCCUGCAGCUCCUGCAUUGCAGGCAGAUUCUUUACAGCUGAGCCACCAGAGAAGCCCUAGCAGACUGAGACAGGGCCUCAAAGAUCAUCCAGCACAAGUGAACGUCUGUGCUGGGGCCAUUAGACCCAGGAAAAUGUUGGGAAAAGUAUCAAAAGUUUGGAGAAAGCAAGAAAGCAUGAUCUCCACCUGCAUGGCUGGAAUUGGCACAGGGCUGUGUGGGGACAGGAGGCUCGACCAGUGACUGGUGACUAGGUCAAUAGUCAGACUGACCCUGCAGAACAGCACCGAGACCCAUGCACGUGCGCGUGCGCACGCACACACACACACACACACACACACACACACACACACAGGAUUAAGCCCGCAGGUGCCAGGAAAACUGGCGUGUGGUCUCCCUGGGUAUUUACAUGCCCAAAGAGAUGGGAAAUAUCUCAGGGUCAUAAAAGCCCAGACAUAGGAGACUCUCUGACUCCUGGAGAUAUUUUAUUUACAUACCUGUAGGUCAAGGUAAGAACCCAAAGUCCUUUCCCUCCCAUCUCAAGGGAGCAAAGAUUUCUUUGCCUCAUUCCUAGAGGCAGAGGGAAGCGCACAUAAGUAGACAGAAUCCUUGGUUUCCCCUCCCACAUCUCUGGGGUAUCAUCUGCAUGUGCAGGAAGUUCCCACUGGUUCUCAUCACUGUGCCCUGGAAUUUGGGUCUGGGGGUGGACACUGCAGGGUGGACACUCUGGCUGUCGGUCUGUGUGUAUCAGCAGAGCGCCUCUUCCUGGCCCUGGCUGCCUCGUGUUCCUGCAGUGUUCAUGUAUAUAAAGCACAGAACUAGGAGUGGGCAACAUCUUAGACCUUGUACCAUUUGACAGGAAGCCCAUGUAAAUGGGUGCUUUGCAGGCCCCCAGAACCCUGAGUCCCUGUCUGUAGGACGUGACUGAGGACUGAGGGAGCUGGCUCAGCACACAGGCUCCAGGUGGCCUCACCGGUGUUCUUUCUUUCACCAAAGAGACCCAGACAGCAGUAAAUAGCCAAGUUUUACCAAUAAUAGCUGGAUUCUUUAACAGUAAAGUACAGGCCUAAUGAAAUGACUCUGUCCCAAGCUGUUCAUGAAAGGAGUGAAAAAAUGCUGGCGUGUCCUGGUGUUUCCAUUUUUGAUCAGCCUCAUCUGGGAAUUUAAUACGUUUUCUGAUCAAAGUCCAAAGUCUCUGCUUUGCUUCAGCUUUAAUCUUCGGUUAUAAAGACACACACACACACACACACCAGGUUACAGCCAAACUGAUUUCAUUUGGAGGGUUGGAGUGGUGGAUAGGGAAUACAUAUCUAGAUAAAGAGGUAAUCACUGACUUCAUCAUGGGAAGGUGUUUGGACAGUGCUGCUGCUGCUGCUAAGUCGCUUCAGUCGUGUCCAACUCUGUGCAACCCCAUAGACGGCAGCCCACCAGGCUCCGCCGUCCCUGGGAUUCUCCAGGCAAGAACACUGGAGUGGGUUGCCAUUUCCUCCUCCAAUGCGUGAAAGUGAAGUCGCUCAGUCAUGUCCGACUCUUAGCGACCCCAUGGACUGCAGCCCACCAGGCUCCUCCAUCCAUGGGAUUUUCCAGGCAAGAGUACUGGAGUGGGGUGCCAUUGCCUUUUCCUUGAUGUUAACAAUGUUUUCAAUGUGAAGUAUUUGGUAUGUUUGAGAUUAUUUUAUUUUAUAUAUGGCAUUUUAUUCAUUGUUUAUAUGGCCUGGAGCCAUGUUUUCUGUUAAUGCUUAUGUCAAGAAAAAGAAGGAAAAUAAAUUAAUUCAAAAGCUUUUCAAACUCCAAUAUUAACUUCUUUUAAUUAAAAAAUGUUUUUCCUUAAGGAAGAAGGUGUCAUUUAUAAAAGGAGUCUAAAGGAUCCCCUUACAAAGGAGAAUGGAUGGACUUAUGAAGGACUCCUGUGUGGCUGAGCUUGGCUCUCAGAACUUCCUUUAUCAUCAGUGAGUUGUUUGGACUGGUGGGAAGAUAGAGCCUUGAGAAGCUGCUCCAGAACUAAACAGGUCCAACUUCAGUGUUCUUUCUUUCACCAAAGAGACCCAGACAGCAGUAAAUAGCCAAGUUUUACCAAUAAUAGCUGGAUUCUUUAACAGUAAAGUACAGGCCUAAUGAAAUGACUCUGUCCCAAGCUGUUCAUGAAAGGAGUGAAAAAUGCUGGCGUGUCCUGGUGUUUCCAUUUUUGAUCAGCCUCAUCUGGGAAUUUAAUACGUUUUCUGAUCAAAGUCCAAAGUCUCUGCUUUGCUUCAGCUUUAAUCUUCGGUUAUAAAGACACACACACACACACACACCAGGUUACAGCCAAACUGAUUUCAUUUGGAGGGUUGGAGUGGUGGAUAGGGAAUACAUAUCUAGAUAAAGAGGUAAUCACUGACUUCAUCAUGGGAAGGUGUUCGGACAGUGCUGCUGCUGCUGCUAAGUCGCUUCAGUCGUGUCCAACUCUGUGCAACCCCAUAGACGGCAGCCCACCAGGCUCCGCCGUCCCUGGGAUUCUCCAGGCAAGAACACUGGAGUGGGUUGCCAUUUCCUCCUCCAAUGCGUGAAAGUGAAGUCGCUCAGUCAUGUCCGACUCUUAGCGACCCCAUGGACUGCAGCCCACCAGGCUCCUCCAUCCAUGGGAUUUUCCAGGCAAGAGUACUGGAGUGGGGUGCCAUUGCCUUUUCCUUGAUGUUAACAAUGUUUUCAAUGUGAAGUAUUUGGUAUGUUUGAGAUUAUUUUAUUUUAUAUAUGGCAUUUUAUUCAUUGUUUAUAUGGCCUGGAGCCAUGUUUUCUGUUAAUGCUUAUGUCAAGAAAAAGAAGGAAAAUAAAUUAAUUCAAAAGCUUUUCAAACUCCAAUAUUAACUUCUUUUAAUUAAAAA
ensembl:lncRNA